AUUGAACGCUGGCGGCAUGCCUUACACAUGCAAGUCGAACGGCAGCACGGGAGCAAUCCUGGUGGCGAGUGGCGAAUGGGUGAGUAAUAUAUCGGAACGUGCCCAGUCGUGGGGGAUAACGCAGCGAAAGCUGUGCUAAUACCGCAUACGAUCUACGGAUGAAAGCGGGGGAUCGCAAGACCUCGCGCGAUUGGAGCGGCCGAUAUCAGAUUAGCUAGUUGGUGAGGUAAAGGCUCACCGAGGCGACGAUCUGUAGCUGGUCUGAGAGGACGACCAGCCACACUGGAACUGAGACACGGUCCAGACUCCUACGGGAGGCAGCAGUGGGGAAUUUUGGACAAUGGGCGCAAGCCUGAUCCAGCAAUGCCGCGUGCAGGAUGAAGGCCUUCGGGUUGUAAACUGCUUUUGUACGGAACGAAACGGUGAGCUCUAAUACAGUUUGCUAAUGACGGUACCGUAAGAAUAAGCACCGGCUAACUACGUGCCAGCCGCCGCAGUAAUAC
rnacentral:rRNA from 1 species